rfam:TPA: Bos taurus chromosome X, whole genome shotgun sequence.
UCCCUGGUGGCUCAGACGGUAGAGCGUCUGCCUGCAAUGCAGGAGACCUGGGUUCACUCCCUGGGUCGGGAA